rnacentral:rRNA from 1 species
AUCCGCGCCGCAUUAGCUAGUUGGUAAGGUAACGGCUUACCAAGGCAACGAUGCGUAGCCGACCUGAGAGGGUGAUCGGCCACACUGGAACUGAGACACGGUCCAGACUCCUACGGGAGGCAGCAGU